GGGCUUCAGUUCCGGGGCGGGUGUCCGCUCUGGGUGUCCCCGGCCCGGCUUCCCUCUGUGGAGCGGUCUCAGCGGGAGCAGGGGGGCUAGCGGCGGUACCGGGGAGGGACCGGACUCAGGGCAUCAUGAGCGGAUCACAGAACAAUGACACCAAAAGACAGUUUCUUCUAGAGCGGCUACUGGAUGCAGUGAAACAGUGUCAAAUCCGGUUUGGAGGAAGAAAAGAAAUUGCUUCAGAUUCUGAUAGCAGAGUGACUUGCCUGUGUGCUCAGUUUGAAGCUGUACUACAGCAUGGUUUGAAGAGGAGCCGAGGAUUAGCAUUAACAGCAGCAGCAAUCAAACAGGCAGCAGGUUUCUCCAGCAAAACAGAAACAGAGCCAGUGUUUUGGUACUACGUAAGAGAAGUUCUGAAUAAACAUGAACUACAGCGCUUCUACUCUCUGAGGACUAUUACUACAGAUAUUGGCAGAGGCCGUGCCUGGCUACGCUGUGCAUUAAAUGAACAUUCUCUGGAAAGAUAUGUCCAUAUGCUGCUUGCAGAUAAAAAUCGACUUAGUGUCUUCUAUGAAGACUGGUCUUUUAUGAUGGAUGAAGAACGUUCUAGUAUGAUCCCUACGAUGGCAGCUGGUCUGAAUUCCAUUCUUUUUGCAAUCAACAUUGACAACAAGGACUUAAAUGGGCAGAGCAAAUGCACUCCUACCGUCUCUGAUCUCUUAAAAGAAUCCACGCAAAAUGUAACCUCAUUGUUGAAGGAAUCCACCCAAGGUGUUAGCAGCCUUCUAAGAGAGAUAACCACAUCCUCUGCUGUUUCCAUUUUAAUCAAACCUGAUCAAGACACUGACCCACUUCCAGUUCUAUCAAAGAAUGUUAGUGCUGAUUUAAAAUGUAGAAAAGAUCGAAAGAAGAAGAAAAGGGUGACACACAUCAUCUCAUUUGAUGAGGAGGAAGAUGAACAAAAUUUAGGAGAUACUUUAAAGACAGCAGUUGCAGGAGAAAGCUCAGAAGAGAACUCAGACAAGUCUUCAGCUUUUGUAUUACCUUCCUCUGAAGGCUCUCUUGUACAAAAUUUAAAUGGAAAUCAGAAUACCCAUUUGUGGAAAAGCGAUUCCAUGUUUUUGAAUGGAGAGUGUAGUUACCAGAAGCUUGAUGUGAAGAGUAUUGAUGAUGAAGAUGUGGAUGAAAACGAGGAAGAGAUAUAUGGAAAGAUACUGGGAAACAAAGGCGUGGAAGAUGAAACAAAAGUUUCAGAAAAGCCAUAUGAAGGGGGCACAUGCAAUUCACAGAUAUGCACUUGGACUCCCCUGCAGAUCCUGAAUGAUAGUUCAGAUAUUCUGUUUCCUGUCAGUGCUGUUGAUUCUUACUCCCAGAUUGGUAACCUGGAGAAUGGAGAUGGGCAUGAAAGUGCUGUUCUUACAGUAGAACUGGCUCAGAGAGGAUCUGAACUUCCUUAUAGAGUGGAUGUCAGUCCUCCUGUUCAAGUGAAUGCUUUAAGCAAUAUGUUGCCUUCAGCCACUGUGCCAGAAUCAAUGACAAUUAAUGAACUUCGGCAAGCUAUUGUGGCCAUGAUGAACAGAAAGGAUGAGCUCGAAGAACAGAACAGAUCUCUGCGAAACCUGCUUGAUGGAGAGAUGGAACAUUCUGCACUACUCCGGCAAGAAAUUGAAAACUUGAGAAGGAAAGUAGCAGAGCAUGAGGAGCGACAUGCAGCAAAGAUCCAGGCCUUGGCAAGGGAGAAUGAAGUGCUGAAAGUACAACUCAAGAAGUAUGUAGGAGCUGUCCAGAUGCUGAAAAGAGAAGGUCAAACAGCAGAAGUUCUGCCAAACCUUUGGAAUGUUGAUGGGGAAUUUACCAUACCUGAGCAAAAGCAAGUAGAAAACAACGAAGAGCUAGCAAACUCCUAUGAAAGAAAACUGAUUGAGGUGGCAGAAAUGCACGGGGAGCUUAUAGAAUUCAAUGAGCGACUACACCGUGCUUUGAUGGCUAAAGAAGCUCUUGUAUCCCAAAUGAGGCAGGAACUCAUUGAUUUGAGAGGGCCAGUCCCUGGGGAUUUGAGUCAGACAUCUGAAGACCAGAGUUUGUCAGAUUUUGAAAUAUCAAAUCGUGCCCUUAUUAAUGUUUGGAUUCCCUCAGUCUUUCUACGAGGAAAAGCUGCUAAUGCAUUCCAUGUUUACCAAGUAUAUAUCAGAAUAAAAGAUGAUGAAUGGAAUGUUUAUCGAAGAUAUGCAGAAUUCAGAAGCUUGCACCACAAGCUACAGAAUAAAUACCACCAAGUAAGGACCUUUAACUUCCCACCAAAAAAAGCCAUUGGAAACAAGGAUGCAAAGUUUGUUGAGGAACGACGCAAACAGCUACAAAAUUACUUACGGAAUGUUAUGAACAAAAUUAUUCAAACUGUGCCAGAAUUCACAGUUAGCCCUAAAAAAGAGACUCUUAUUCAACUGAUGCCCUUUUUUGUUGAUACCCAACCUGUGGGAGAACCAGUAAGCAAAAGCAAUCGCUCAAGAGUGGCUACCCGCUUUCCAAAGCUAUCUCGGCACCAUCAAAGGGAGCCACGGAACCUGGAGCCUCAAAGCUGGUGUAUUGUCUGGCUAUACCGAAAGAAGGACAGGAGACACCUGAUAUAGUUUUAAUUAGACUGCAACUUUAUUAUUAGAUGUCUGUGACUACCCAGCAGAUAAAAGUGUAUCAUGCAGGUAACUCCAUGUUCAUUCAGUUACUACCUGGAAGGCUUCUGCCAGCCCCCAUCUUUUCCCAUACAGGUCCCCCAGCCACCCAUUGCUGGGACCUUACCAUCCACCACUGCCCUAGUAGGAGGGUUAAGGUGGGCUGUAAGAAACGGGGGUUGGCUUCCUGCCGUACCAUGUAUAGGAGCCCUGAAGCCCUCCUCCCACCCUGUUCCAUUACUUUAACCCACACUUCCUUUUUAAGUCCUUUACCAAGCCAUUUAUCUAGCCACUGUACACAUUCCCUGUGGAGUACCUGGACAUCUGCCCCACACUUACAUAAUGAGUUGCGACAUAUAGCCUAACUCCCUUCACUGUUAACCAUAACAAAACCAUCCCUGAACCUGCUGUGGAAGGCAAAAAACCCCACCCCACCUAGGCCAAUCUGUUGAGGGAAAAAGUCCUUCCCGGAUGCCCUAAAAGAAAUGGCUAGCGUGAUGCCCACAGCAGGUCCUGACCAAACCUGGUAUUUUGCCACCUGAAGGGGAGGGAAAGGUAGGUGCUGCCUUGCCCGCUCUGUGGAAAAAGAGUUCCUCAUGCCCGGGCUUGCCCUUCUUCAACUCCUUCGCCCUUCCGGUCCCAGAGGAUGAGUCAGUGUCGCCACAGCUUCUGACCUCUCUCCCUCACCCUCAAAACACUGAUUCCUUUCCCUCAGCAAGCCAGAGAACGGCCCCCUGCUUAAAGGUGCUGUGUGGUUCAUUUUUGUUAUUGACUGUCAGUUUAUUAUGCUACUAUGACAGUAGUUAUAGAAACCCAAGGGGUUGGGUUUUUUUCAGAAAAAGAAUUGACUUCUUAUUAAUGCACUUUUUUGAAUGUAGAGCUAUUUUAAAAAGUCUAACGAACUGAGACCCAUAUUCUUCAAGCCUAUGUCCCAUUUUGUGGCACUUAUUCACGAGUAGCCCUAUUGACUUCAGUCAGACAACUCGCAUGAAUAAGGUUUGCUCAAAGUGAAUAAUGGUUGCAGAACUGGCUUCUGAGUGUGAAGAACGAGUCCUGUAAUCCUAACAUUGACAUACACUGUUAUAGAUUGCACUGAGUGAUGGGAAAAAGCAACCAGUGGCAACCAGGUAUUAACACGCAAGACCCCAAAAGAAAAAUCAUGUCCCAGAAAUGAAAUAUUGUUCUGUUACUUGCAAUCUUAUCUGCUACUGCAGUAUCUUCUGCACAUCGAUAAGAGAGCUCCUUUACAAAUGAAUCCCAACAAGCAGCUUAUCAGAAAAGCUAGAUGUCUUGGUUGAAUCAGAAAAUGAGUUAAUAUUGGGUGGGGUGUUUGUUUAAAAAUAAAAAAUAAUAAAAUCUGUAAGCAGACUGCAGCUAAAGCCUCUCCGAACCAAUUAAUUUGAUGCAUAACGUGUAUUUUGAAGUUUGUCUUUGUUGAAAAAUUAUAGAUUGAAUGUGAGUUCCACUUUGAAAGACUAAAAAGUCAUAUCUUUAAAAGGUCUAAAGUCUUUACAAGAUUGACAGGAGUGUAAUCUGUAAUUCAUGUGCCAAAUUUUGCCUACUAAUAUUGAAUUACAGAUUGAAUUGAAAGCCUACCUUGCAUAAAUUCCUUUGGGGAGAAUUGGAUGUAGAUGUGUUUACCACAUGAAUCUGUUUUCGUCUUCAAAAAAUAGUUCACAAUGUACAGCUUUUCCUCCCAUCUUUGAAAAGCUGCAAAUGGUUGGGCCCCAGUACGGGGAAAUGGAUUGCACUGAAGGUCGUGCAGGAGUUGAGGAGGAACUAGCAUGGAAGCUGGCAGAAGGGAGUUGAGACCAGUGUCAGUGAAAGACAUGUUGCAACAUGAGGCUCUGGCCUGAAUGUGUUGGAGGGAGGAGCUAUCUUCCAGCACUUGAGAGUAAGGAAAUGGAAAAGGUGUUACAUCAGCUAAGAGGUUCCCAUCUGUUUGGGCCCUUCUUGCAAAUUCCUCCAUGAGUUCAAGUGCCUUUCACAACAGUUUGAGGUUCCAGUGUCGGCUUCCAAAUCCCAUUUUCAAUUAUAAAAAGUAAAGCUCCCAGUUCCAUGUAUUAUAUGAGAAUGAGGUGUAAAUGACCAAAGGACUUCAGAUGCCUUCAAAAAGAAUCUGGAUUCCUGGAGGAAGGGGGAAUGAGAGGCCACUUAAAAUAACUGUUUUGUCUCUUUCCCUUUGCCCCACUUCCAUGCCCAGCUGUGUCUGGUGAGAAGGGUGCAGAUAUAUGUUAUAGGAUGCUGGUGUGACAUCACAAAGAAACUAGCCAAAUAGAAUAGAACGGUGCCUCAUGCUGCAUUCUAAUCCUAGACGAAGAUGGUUUUGGAUUAGUGAAAUAGACAUCAGAUCUGAAAGUUUCAGAGUACACCAGUACGUACAGUGAUUGCAAGUAACAAAACUGGAGGAUAAUAAAACAAACAAUAUGAAAGAGUAAACACGAGAGAGCUUCUUCCCACAAAGCAUAAUGAGGUUUGCACUCGUUCAUCUUAAAAUAGGAAA